rnacentral:rRNA from 1 species
AUUGAACGCUGGCGGCAGGCCUAACACAUGCAAGUCGAGCGGAGCGGCGGACGGGUGAGUAAUGCUUAGGACUCUGCCUCGUAGUGGGGGAUAAUGUCCGGAAACGGGCGCUAAUUCCGCAUACUAUCAGACGAGCCUAGGUCGGAUUAGCUAGUUGGUGGGGUAAAGGCCUAAAAAGGCGACGAUCCGUACCUGGUCGGAGAGGAUGAUCAGUCACACUGGAACUGCGACACGGUCCAGACUCCUACGGGAGGCAGCAGUGGGGAAGAUUGGACAAUGGGCGAAAGCCUGAUCAAGACAUGCCGCGUGUGUGAAGAAGGUCUUCGGAUUGUAAAGCACUUUAAGUUGGGAGGCGUUACCAACAGAAUAAGCACCGGCUAACUACGUGCCAGCAGCCGCGGUAAUUC